CCGCAAGCAUGAUUUCAUUUAAUUCUCAUAAUAACUUUGUGAGGGUGGAUGAUAAAAAUAAGGACAAUUUUGAAUAUCUUUUGAGCAGCCACUAUGGGUAGCUGGUUUCCAUGUAUCUUCUUUAAUCUGAAAUAGCACUACAGGGGUUGCCGUUAAGAUCCUUGUUUGACAAAGGAGGCCGAUUGAGACACAGUGUAGUUAGGCACCUUUGUUGAGGUCACAUAGCUAGUGAGCACUGGGGCCAUUGUCAGAACCCGGACUCCUGGUCCCAUGCCCUGAAUCAUUGCACCCCACACAGUUGGGAAGAUCAGGCUCAGAGAUGAGAGCCAGCUUGGCCAGUGGAGAAAGCCUGAGGAUGUCACUGCAAAUUCCUGUCCCUCCACUUCUCUCCUCUCUUGGUCUGAACUCGCCCUCACCCCAACACCAGGGAUUUCACAAUUGUUCUCAGUGUCAUUUCUCUCCUUCCUGCCGUCCUCCCUCUCCCGUCCACUCCAAAUUUUAGCCCCUGGUUUUACACUCAUCUUCCCUCCUGAUUCACGGCCUCCCUCUCCCCCGACUUCACUUCCUGCUCCUUCACCCUGGACAAGGGUGUUUUAGAACCCUGUCCCAAGUAGCUCACAUCAGUUCCUGAGCAUUGAACUCACUCCCUCCAAGCCCACAUCGACUGCCCCACUCUGGGUGAGCCCACUGGGCUAUGCCCCAGCUCAGUAUUCUGGAACACUGGUUUGGAAUGGGGACGGCACUAACAGAGCAGGGAGGCCGGUCUGGGCUUCUCCCAACAGCUCCGGCUUCCCAAACAAGGCAUGCCAAGGAGAGGGAAAAGGAAGUCUGGCCAGCCCUGCACUCCCUGCACCUCUGCAGCCCGCCCUCCCUUCCUCCCAGCCAGCUUUCUUAGCUCAGAGGGAAGGGGCAAGGGCUGAUGCCUCUGAGCACUGGUUGUGUGAUCCCCAUGCUGGGAGCAGGCCUGGGAGAGGAGGAGAAUUGCUUUGGGUCAGUCACCAUUCCAAACAGAGGGCCAGACACCAAACAGGUGACACAUGCAUUUAAUAGACACAUUCCAGGGAGGGAACAGAGGGAGCACUCACUCCCAGCAGGCCAC
rnacentral:lncRNA from 10 species